GAUGAACGCUGGCGGCGUGCCUAAUACAUGCAAGUCGAGCGAACAGACGAGGAGCUUGCUCCUCUGACGUUAGCGGCGGACGGGUGAGUAACACGUGGAUAACCUACCUAUAAGACUGGGAUAACUUCGGGAAACCGGAGCUAAUACCGGAUAAUAUAUUGAACCGCAUGGUUCAAUAGUGAAAGACGGUUUUGCUGUCACUUAUAGAUGGAUCCGCGCCGCAUUAGCUAGUUGGUAAGGUAACGGCUUACCAAGGCAACGAUGCGUAGCCGACCUGAGAGAGUGGUCGGCCACACUGGAACGGAGACGCGGUCCAGACUCCUACGGGAGGCAGCAGUAGGGAAUCUUCCGCAAUGGGCGAAAGCCUGACGGAGCAGCGGCGCGUGAGUGAUGAAGGUCUUCGGAGCGUAAAACUCUGUUAUUAGGGAAGAACAAAUGUGUAAGUAACUGUGCACGUCUUGACGGUACCGAAUCAGAAAGCCACGGCUAACUACGUG
rnacentral:rRNA from 1 species